AAGACAUCUUUUUUACCUGCAGAAAAGCUUCAUUUGUGCUUUUCUGCCUGGGGUUUGGUAGAUUUGUUUGAAUGUGUUAUACCCCAGAUAGGAAUCCCAUGGAGCCCAUUUGUAUGAAACUGACUGUAAAGACUUUGGCUCCAUGGCGAUUAAACUGUAUUCGUGUGGUCUGAGCGCCAUUCGCUUAAUAAUGUGCGCUCAGACCUGAGCUAUCUGGGGAUAUGUUAAAUGUCUGUGUGUUAUGUGUAAAAGGUGACUUUAUGUAAUUUAAAGUGUUUUACUGUCUUUGUGUCACCAUGUGCAUAAUGGAGUCUUGUCCCUGUCCUGGGAGAUAAUUGAAUUACUUCUCACUUAUCUCCAGGGCAGAGGAGAGGAAGUCAGGAUGCAUUGUGGUAAAAGGUAUGUGUAUUGGGUUACCUCUCAGGAUAAGGGGGAGGGAAUCUGUGGGUUGUAACUAAUAUGUUA